GCAAGUGAUCUUACCGUGCUUUGCAUGGUCGGAGGCUUGGUGGGCCAGACCCGUGAUGGCUAUCAACGUGCAUGAGUAGCAUUGGAUACAUGUCUGCCGGUAGAUCCCCCGUUGUACUUCGGCCGACUACCGGCGCUGUGUCCCGUCACUCUUGUGGGCAUUGUCCCGAUGGAUUGAACUUGUGGCUUGCGUGCUAGUACCCGACCUACGGGAAGUGGUGCUUCGAAUAAUUGUUGCCUCACGGUGGACGCCCUUUGGGUGUGCCAUUGUGACCGAAUAGCGCUUGCGGCGUUGCCUCGUACAACAGCCAUAUAAUGUGCAUGUUGAUAUCACGGCAACCUCGCUCUCGCUUUUGGUCUAGGAUGCUGCUCACGAUAAAGGCUCGAGGCCCUUCGGGUUGCCUCGAUCCGAAACAAUGUUCUCUCUCGGAAAUGGCGAUAACCGGGUACAUGUCUUGCCUCUACCUCUCCACAGUUAUGUGGUAGGAUACGCAACCCUAUGAUCCGGCCCUCAUGGAUGAUGAGACAUUCCCAAUGCUCUCUCCGAAAUGGCGAUAACCGGGUACAUGUCUUGCCUCUACCUCUCCACAGUUACGUGGUAGGAUAUGCAACCCUAUGAUCCGGCCCUCAUGGAGGAUGAGACAUGCCCGCUCAAAAGCGACAACUGGCUCGGCUGUUGCGUUUGUCUUUCCACGCAAGUGGAAUUGCAGGGUAACUACCGACGCUGGACGUCACCGAGGACGUGCU
rnacentral:misc_RNA from 1 species